rnacentral:rRNA from 1 species
GACGAACGCUGGCGGCGUGCUUAACACAUGCAAGUCGAACGGAAAGGCCCUGCUUUUGUGGUGGGCUCCAGUGGCUAACGGGGGGGAAACACGUGUGUAACGUGCCUUUGACUUUGGGAUCACUUCAGUAAACUGGGGCUAAUACCGGUUAUGAGCUCCUGCUGCAUGGGGGGGGGUGGGAAGUUUCGGCGGUUGGGGUUGGACUCGCGGCUUAUCUGCUUGUUGGUGGGGUAGUGGCUUACCAAGGCGUUGACGGGUAGCCGGCCUGAGAGGGUGACCGGCCACAUUGGGACUGAGGUACGGCCCAGAAUCCUACGGGAGGCAGCAGUGGGGAAUAGUGCACAAUGGGCGGAAGCCUGAGGCAGCAACGCCGCGUGCGGGAUGACGGCCUUCGGGUUGUAAACCGCUUUCGCCUGUGACGAAGCGUGAGUGACGGUAAUGGGUAAAGAAGCACCGGCUAACUACGUG